AACGCGAAGAACCUUACCUGGGCUCGAAAUGUAGAUGACGAUAACAGAGAUGUUAUUUUCCGCAAGGACAUCUAUAUAGGUGCUGCAUGGCUGUCGUCAGCUCGUGCCGUGAGGUGUUGGGUUAAGUCCCGCAACGAGCGCAACCCUUAUCAUUAGUUGCCAACACGUAAAGGUGGGGACUCUAGUGAGACUGCCUAGGUUAACUAGGAGGAAGGUGAGGAUGACGUCAAGUCCGCAUGGCCUUUAUGUCCAGGGCUACACACGUGCUACAAUGGUCGGUACAGAGGGUGGCGAAACCGCAAGGUGGAGCAAAUCCCACAAAGCCGAUCUCAGUUCAGAUUGUGGUCUGCAACUCGACCACAUGAAGUUGGAAUUGCUAGUAAUGGCGUGUCAGCAACAGCGCCGUGAAUACGUUCCCGGGCCUUGUACACACCGAUA
rnacentral:rRNA from 1 species